CAUUUAGUGGAUGGCUAGGUUCAGAACGCUGAUGAAGGGCGUGGCCAGCUGCGAAAAGCUCCGGCGAGGCGCACGUAGCCUGAGAACCGGAGAUCCCCGAAUGGGACAUCCCGUAUACUCCGUAAGGAGAAGGAACUUCCCGGAGUGAAACAUCUCAGUAGGGAAAGGAAAAGAAAGCAAAUGCGAUGCCGUUAGUAAGGGCGACCGAACACGGCAGAGAGCAAACUGAAUCCCAGUUAUCUGGGAGAUGUGGUGUUCGGAUGCAUGCAACUGCAACGCAGAUGAAGGUGAAGUCUCCUGGAACGGAGCACCAGAGAGGGUGACAGUCCCGUAACUGUAAGUCUGCAGCGCAGGCAUGUAUUCCAGAGUAGUGUGGGUCGGAUAUCUCGCAUGAAUAUGGGAGGCACUAACUCCUAACUCUAAAUACGUUCUGAAACCGAUAGCGAACUAGUACCGUGAGGGAAAGCUGAAAAGUACCCCGAAAGGGGGGUGCAAAGAGCCUGAACCUAAAUGGUGACGAUUGGGCAGGGCGCGAAAGGGUAGACUCUUGUCGAAAGGAGAGUUCGCAAGGUCUCAACUGAGACAAGAUGACCGGUGUCCUGUCGUCCGUCUAGAAACACGGGGCAGGGAGUUUACAGCAGUGGCGAAACUAAGAAGUUGAAACUUCUGAGUUUUAGGGAAACCAACACGUCCGCAGCCUUUGGUGAGGGACGAGGUGUGAAAGCGCCUGGAGUCACUGCUUUAAGACCCGAAACCAGUCGAUCUAUUCCUGGGCAAGGUGAAAUCUCUCGCCAGAGAGACGGAGGCCUGAAGGGGUACUGACGUGCAAAUCGUUCCUCUGACCUGGGAAUAGGGGUGAAAGGCCAAUCGAGACUGGAGAUAGCUGGUUCUUCCCGAAAUGAGCCGUAGUUCAGCCCGGAGCGAGACAGUCGGUGGAGUAGAGCACUGAUUGGGUGUUUAGGGGGAGAAAUCCCUCGGCACUCUGUCAAACUCCGAAGCCAUCGACGUUGUAGACCUCUGGAGUGAGUGGUGUGGGGUAAGCUCACAUUGCAAAAGGGAAACAACCCAACCCAAAGUUAAGGCCCCUAAGCGCUGGCUAAGUUGAAGGAUGUCCUCAGCCCUAAACAGCGGGGAGGUAAGCUCAGAAGCAGCUAUCCUUUAAAGAGUGCGUAACAGCUCACCCGUCUAGGUUCAGGGCGCCUAAAAUGGACGGGACUCAAGCCCGCCGCCGAUACUUUGGAACGCGAAAGUGAUUUGGUAGGGAAGCGUCUCGAUAGGGCAGAAGCUGCUGCGAGAGCAACAGUGGACCUGUCGGGAUUGAGAAUCCUGCUGGUAGUAACAGCAAAGCAGAGUGAGAAUCUCUGCCACCGGAGGGGCUAGGAUUCCUCAGCAAUGUUCGUCAGCUGAGGGUUAGCCGGUCCUAAGGUCAUCGGUAAUUCCAGAUGAUCGAAAGGGAAACAGGUUAAUAUUCCUGUGCCACAAAAGCAAUAGCGGCAACGCUGGUGUCUUUUCCUGACAUCUAUGGAUAGACUGAGUGGGACCGUCAUCCCAUUUAACUGUAUAAAUCCAGGAAGAUGCGUCAUGCAGAGAACUGGAUGAAACCAGUAACAGCCUGACACUUUUAGUUGGGUUCAGUUGAUUCCACGGGUCAGUGAAAAGGGAAAGGAUGUAUGCUUUUGUGUCCGUACUGAGAACCGACACAGGUGCCCCUAGGUGAGAAGCCUAAGGUGUGUUGGGAUACUCCAGUUGAGGGAACUCGGCAAAUUAGCCUCAUACCUUCGGUAUGUGGGGUGCGCAUCUCGCUGAGAGAUGCGUCGCAGUGACAAGGAGGCUCCGACUGUUUAAUAAAAACACAGCAAGCUGCUAGCCCGAAAGGGUGUGUACAGCUUGUGACGUCUGCCCAGUGCCGGUACGUGAAACCCUGUUCCAACGGGGCUAAGCGCCGGUAAACGGCGGGAGUAACUAUAACUCUCUUAAGGUAGCGUAAUACCUUGCCGCUUAAUUGGUGGCUUGCACGAAUGGCGGAACGAGAGCCUCGCUGUCCCCAACUGGAACCCAGUGAACCCACUGCCUGGUGCACAUGCCAGGGACCCCCAACGGGAAGCGAAGACCCCGUGGAGUUUUACUACAGCCUGUCGUUGUGAUUCGAAUAGGGUUGUGCAGCAUAGGUGGGAGCCUGCGAAGCCUCGUCGCUAGACAAGGUGGAGGCGCCGGUGAGAUACCACCCUUCUGUAUUUGGGUCACUCACCGUUUUCGGACGGAACAUCGGUAGGUAGGUAGUUUGGCUGGGGCGGCACGCCCCUGAAAAGAUAUCAGGGGCGCCCUAAGGCUGGCUCAGAUGGGUCAGAAAUCCAUCGUAGAGUGCAAGGGCAAAAGCCAGCUUGACUGGAUUGUUGCCAGUAAGCGAUCCAGAGGUGAAAGCCUGGCCUAGCGAGACACAAUGUCCUCCUUAGUGGGGGCUUGUGGUGACAGAAAAACUACCCCGGGGAUAACAGGGUGGUAUCGGGCAAGAGUACAUAUCGACCCCGAUGCUUGCUACCUCGCUGUCGGUUUUCUCCAACCUGGGUCUGCAGCAGGACCCAAGGGUGGGGUUGUUCGCCCAUCAAAGGAGAACAUGAGCUGGGUUUAGAUCGUCGUGAGACAGAUUGGAUGCUAUCUGUUGGGGGUGCGGGGUGUUUGAGGGAAAGGUAGCCUCAGUACGAAAGGAACAGGUCGCCGUGGCCUCUGGUGGAUCGGUUGUCUGACAAGGCACUGCCGAGUAGCUACGCCAUAGUGGAUAAAGGCUGAAUGCAUCUAAGCCUGAAGCCACUCCCAAAACGAGACACCCAUUCUCUUG
rnacentral:rRNA from 1 species